CAGGGAGACAACAAAAUGUUUAAUAUUAUUAUUUUGUCACCUUAGGUCGAUCGGUAUCUCACGUUCUUAAUUUGUUAAGAAUUUCAUUUCCUAAGUUUUUCUAGGUCACACCCAUUAUUUUUCCUGGGCCAUUAGCUCAGGUGGUUAGAGCGCACCCCUGAUAAGGGUGAGGUCCCUGGUUCAAGUCCAGGAUGGCCCAUAUCUCUAUGUUGGGGGUAUAGCUCAGUUGGUAGAGCGCCUGCUUUGCAAGCAGGAUGUCAGCGGUUCGAGUCCGCUUACCUCCACUGAUUACCACCUCUUCCAUAACCGGUAGAAAGGAAGUAUUUUGAGUUGUGAUCAAAUUCUGAAAGAAUCUGGCUUCCUAAUGAAAUCAUUAAGAUGCUGGACUCAUUGAAUUAAUUUCAUUGUUUUCAGAGAACCUUGACAACUGCAUAGAUUAUUUUUAAAGACAAUUAAGCAUCUUUAAUGAUGCAGAUUUAUUAUUUGUGCGAAUGCAUUAAUAACAAUUCUAUUAAGCUGAUGCUUCAUUUUUGAAGUUAUU
rnacentral:tRNA from 1 species